UUAAAAUACCUCCACGAAGAAUUCAAGGAGCCAAUUUACCAUUUGGACCUAAAACCUGAAAACAUACUGCUAGAUGAGAAUAUGGUACCGAAACUUGCUGAUUUUGGUUCGUCGAAACUCUUUGGCAAAGGACUAACCAUGGUUAUCUCAAAGAAUCUUUCAGCAACAAUUGGGUACGUGCCGCCCGAAUACUAUUCUCAUCAGGUCGUCUCCGAGAAGUUUGACAUAUUCAGCUUAGGUGUUGUAAUGACAAAGAUAAUUGCAGGUCCUAGAGGCAAUUCCUUAAGUGCUGAGAUGGAUUACCAAGACUUUCUUGAUCAAGUACACGAAAACUGGAGGAAAAGGUUCCAGGAGAAAUGGCAUAAUUCCGAACUACUACAAGCAUAUUGCCAACAAGUGAACAUAUGCAUAACAAUAGCACUGAGCUGCAUGGAUUGUGAUAGGUUCAAAAGACCCAGUAUACUGGAUAUUAUCAAUGAACUGAACGAGAGUGAAACUGUAAUCGAAGAGUUGAACCCUGAUCACCGAUGGACAAGGAUAUCAGAUGCAAAUAGAACACCAGCCAUUGAUUCCCAGAAACAAAGUCUUGCGCUAGAAGAAGUGCGCUUUCUCGUAAAUAAUCUGACUUUGGAGAAUAACAGAUUGUGUGAACCCUCAGUUUCUCCAAGAAAAGAAUUUCACCCUAACAUCUUGGAUCUUCCAAGUGAUCAAAGGACAUCCUACCGUGGCCAAAAAUCAACAGAAAUUUUGGUCCCUACACGGUUGCCGAACUCUCCCCCUAGUUCAAGAGGCAAACACUGUCCAAGGUCACAUGUGCAUUCAAUAGCACUUGGGCGCCCAGGAUACCCUACUGCGUGGCAGGAUGAUGCACGGAGCAUAAGCCCACCACACCCACUUCCUCUUCCUCUUCCUCUUCCUCCAGGCGUCCCUUGCACAUCUUCCUGUUUCCUCCAUUCGCAGUGGAAGAAGGGGAAGUUAUUAGGCAGUGGUACAUUUGGGCAAGUAUACCUCGGAGUGAACAGUGAAAGUGGCCAACUGUGUGCAAUUAAAGAGAUUAAGGUUAUUGCUGGCGAUUCAAAGUCAAAAGAGUGUCUGAGGCAGCUAAAUCAGGAAAUUAUGCUCCUAAAUCAUCUUUCUCAUCCAAAUAUUGUGCGGUACUAUGGCAGUGAACUGGUAAAUACAAAAGAAAUGGGUUACUAUGGCAGUGAACUGUCUAGUGAAACACUCUCGCUCUAUCUUGAGUUUGUUUCUGGGGGCUCUAUACGUAAGUUGCUUAGAGAAUAUGGUCCAUUUGAAGAGGCAGUCCUCCGGAAUUACACUGCACAGAUCCUUUCUGGCCUUGCAUACUUGCAUAGGCGGAAUAUAGUGCACAGGGAUAUCAAAGGAGCAAAUGUAUUUGUAAAUUGUAAUGGUGACAUCAAACUCGCAGAUUUCAGUAUGACCAAUCAUGUAAAUAUCAGCAGCCACAUCGAUGAGAUCCUUCAAAGGAAACCCUUACUGGAUGGCUCCAGAGGUUAUCAUGAAUACCAAUGCAUAUAGCCUUUCAGUGGACAUUUGGAGCCUUGGCUGCACCAUUCUUGAGAUGGCAAGUGCAAGGCCUCCUUGGAGUCAGUACGAAGGGGUGGCUGCAAUAUUCAAAAUUGCAAACAGCAAAGACAUACCUGGUAUCCCAGAUCAUCUUUCUUCUGAAGCAAAAAGCUUUCUGAAACUCUGUUUGCAGCGUGAUCCUGCUGCGCGUCCGACUGCUGAUCAAUUAAUCGUACAUCCGUGGGUGAAAGACCAAGCAUCAGUUACCAAGGCUCCUGUCAAAUAGUGGUUUAUAUUAGGAAUCUGCUUGUACUCUGUAUGAUAGCCAUCUAUGGGUAGAUGACAUUAUCUCUCAUAUUGGUUA